rnacentral:rRNA from 1 species
AGAACGAACGCUGGCGGCAUGCCUAACACAUGCAAGUCGAACGCUCUUGGUUUCGGCCAAGGGAGUGGCGCACGGGUGAGUAACGCGUGGGAACCUGCCCUGGAGUGGGGGAUAACCGAGGGAAACCUCGGCUAAUACCGCAUACGACCUGAGGGUGAAAGAUUUAUCGCUCUAGGAGGGGCCCGCGUCGGAUUAGCUAGUUGGUGAGGUAACGGCCCACCAAGGCUAUGAUCCGUAGCUGGUCUGAGAGGAUGAUCAGCCACACUGGGACUGAGACACGGCCCAGACUCCUACGGGAGGCAGCAGUGGGGAAUAUUGGACAAUGGGCGCAAGCCUGAUCCAGCAAUGCCGCGUGAGUGAUGAAGGCCUUAGGUUGUAAAGCUCUUCACACGCGACGAUGAUGACGGUAGCGUGAGAAGAAGCCCCGGCUAACUCGCGCCAGCAGCCGC